rnacentral:rRNA from 1 species
AAGCUCGUAGUUGAAUUUCGGGGUUAGUAGGUUGGUCAUGCCUCUGGUAUGUACUGGUCUCACUGAUUCCUCCUUCCUGAUGAACCUUAAUGCCAUUAAUUUGGUGUUUUGGGGAAUUUGGACUGUUACUUUGAAAAAAUUAGAGUGUUUAAAGCAAGCUAACGCUUGAAUACAUUAGCAUGGAAUAAUGAAAUAGGACGUUCGAUCCUAUUUUGUUGGUUUCUAGGAUUGACGUAAUGAUUAAUAGGGAUAGUUGGGGGCAUUAGUAUUCAAUUGUCAGAGGUGAAAUUCUUGGAUUUAUUGAAGACUAACUACUGCGAAAGCAUUUGCCAAGGAUGUUUUCAUUAAUCAAGAACGAAAGUUAGGGGAUCGAAGACGAUCAGAUACCGUCGUAGUCUUAACCAUAAACUAUGCCGACUAGGGAUCGGAUGAUGUUAAUUUUUUAAUGACUCAUUCGGCACCU